rnacentral:rRNA from 1 species
GCUCAGGACGAACGCUGGCGGCGUGCUUAACACAUGCAAGUCGAGCGGUAAGGCCUUUCGGGGUACACGAGCGGCGAACGGGUGAGUAACACGUGGGUGAUCUGCCCUGCACUCUGGGAUAAGCCCGGGAAACUGGGUCUAAUACCGGAUAUGACUGUCCCAUGCAUGUGGGGUGGUGGAAAGAUUUAUCGGUGCAGGAUGGGCCCGCGGCCUAUCAGCUUGUUGGUGGGGUAAUGGCCUACCAAGGCGACGACGGGUAGCCGACCUGAGAGGGUGACCGGCCACACUGGGACUGAGACACGGCCCAGACUCCUACGGGAGGCAGCAGUGGGGAAUAUUGCACAAUGGGCGGAAGCCUGAUGCAGCGACGCCGCGUGAGGGAUGAAGGCCUUCGGGUUGUAAACCUCUUUCAGCAGGGACGAAGCGUGAGUGACGGUACCUGCAGAAGAAGCACCGGCUAACUACGUGCCAGCAGCCGCGGUAAUACGUAGGGUGCGAGCGUUGUCCGGAAUUACUGGGCGUAAAGAGUUCGUAGGCGGUUUGUCGCGUCGUUUGUGAAAACCCGGGGCUCAACUUCGGGCUUGCAGGCGAUACGGGCAGACUUGAGUGUUUCAGGGGAGACUGGAAUUCCUGGUGUAGCGGUGAAAUGCGCAGAUAUCAGGAGGAACACCGGUGGCGAAGGCGGGUCUCUGGGAAACAACUGACGCUGAGGAAC